AUGUUUUCCUCGCAGUCCGCCAGCCGCAUCAACAACAUAUGAACCUCCCUCAUCAACGCAUAGAAGGGCAACCUCUCCGUCGCCUCCUACUUCGCCGCCAUGCGCAGCUACGCCGACGAGCUAGCAGUCGCGGGCAAGGCGAUCCCUGACGACGAACUUGCCUCCUACAUCAUCCACGGGCUCGACGCCGACUAUCAGCCCCUAGUCUCUGCCCUAGACACUCGCGUGACCCACGUAACCCUUGAUGAGCUCUUUGCCAUGUUAUCCAAUUUCGAUCAGCGCAUGGCCCAGUUCCAAGGA
rnacentral:rRNA from 1 species